rnacentral:rRNA from 1 species
CGUCUAGGCGGUCAAGUAAGUCACCCGUGAAAGCCCUCGGCUUAACCGAGGAAGGUCGGGUGAUACUGCUUGGCUUGGGUGUAGGAGAGGAGAGCGGAACUCACAGAGUAGCGGUGGAAUGCGUAGAUACUGUGAGGUACCCCGAUGGCGAAGGCAGCUCUCUGGCCUACUACCGACGCUGAAGCGCGAAAGCGUGGGGAGCAAAGG